rnacentral:rRNA from 1 species
UACGUAGGGUGCAAGCGUUAAUCGGAAUUACUGGGCGUAAAGCGUGCGCAGGCGGCUUUGCAAGACAGAUGUGAAAUCCCUCAGCUUAACUGGGGAACUGCGUCUGAUACUGGAUGGCUCGAGUGCAGGAGAGGAACGCGGAAUUCCAGGUGUAGCGGUGAAAUGCGUAGAUAUCUGGAGGAACACCGGUGGCGAAGGCGGCGUUCUGGACUGCAACUGACACUGAGGAACGAAAGCCAGGGGAGCAAACGGG